rnacentral:rRNA from 1 species
UGCAGUCGAGCGGUAAGGCCCUUCGGGGUACACGAGCGGCGAACGGGUGAGUAACACGUGGGUAACCUGCCCUGUACUCUGGGAUAAGCCUGGGAAACUAGGUCUAAUACCGGAUAUGACCUGCCUCCGCAUGGUGGUGGGUGGAAAGUUCCGGCGGUACAGGAUGGACCCGCGGCCUAUCAGCUUGUUGGUGGGGUAAUGGCCUACCAAGGCGACGACGGGUAGCCGGCCUGAGAGGGUGACCGGCCACACUGGGACUGAGACACGGCCCAGACUCCUACGGGAGGCAGCAGUGGGGAAUAUUGCACAAUGGGCGAAAGCCUGAUGCAGCGACGCCGCGUGAGGGAUGACGGCCUUCGGGUUGUAAACCUCUUUCAGCGGGGACGAAGGGCAACUGACGGUACCCGCAGAAGAAGCACCGGCUAACUACGUGCCAGCAGCCGCGGUAAUACGUAGGGUGCGAGCGUUGUCCGGAAUUAUUGGGCGUAAAGAGCUCGUAGGCGGUUUGUUGCGUCGGCUGUGAAAACUUCACGCUUAACGUGGAGCCUGCAGUCGAUACGGGCAGACUUGAGUUCGGCAGGGGAGACUGGAAUUCCUGGUGUAGCGGUGAAAUGCGCAGAUAUCAGGAGGAACACCGGUGGCGAAGGCGGGUCUCUGGGCCGAUACUGACGCUGAGGAGCGAA